UAAGGAAUACUGGACAAUGGAGGCAACUCUGAUCCAGCCAUGCCGCGUGAAGGAAUAAGGCCCUAUGGGUUGUAAACUUCUUUUAGACGGGACAAAACCCCUUUACGUGUAAAGGGUUGAUGGUACUGUCAGAAUAAGCAUCGGCUAACUUCGUGCCAGCAGCCGCGGUAAUACGAAGGAUGCAAGCGUUAUCCGGAAUUAUUGGGUUUAAAGGGUGCGUAGGCGGACUAAUAAGUCAGUGGUGAAAGCCUGCAGCUUAACUGCAGAAUUGCCAUUGAUACUGUUAGUCUUGAGUACAGUUGAGGUCGGCGGAAUGUGUCAUGUAGCGGUGAAAUGCUUAGAUAUGACACAGAACACCGAUUGCGAAGGCAGCUUGCUAAGCUGUAACUGACGCUGAGGCACGAAAGCGUGGGGAGCAAACA
rnacentral:rRNA from 1 species